rnacentral:rRNA from 1 species
GCCUACGGGACGCAGCAGUGAGGAAUAUUGGUCAAUGGGCGAGAGCCUGAACCAGCCAAGUCGCGUGAAGGAUGACGGCCCUACGGGUUGUAAACUUCUUUUGUCAGGGAGCAAUUGGGUCCACGCGUGGGCUUAGCGAGAGUACCUGAAGAAAAAGCAUCGGCUAACUCCGUGCCAGCAGCCGCGGUAAUACGGAGGAUGCGAGCGUUAUCCGGAUUUAUUGGGUUUAAAGGGAGCGUAGGCCGCAUGUCAAGCGUGCUGUGAAAUGUCCGGGCUCAACCCGGGCCUUGCAGCGCGAACUGGCG